AGUCGCGGCUGGUACUACAGAGAAGGACGAACUGAAAAUCGAAGGACCGAAAGCAUCCCCUUCCGGAUCUGUACAUGCUGGAGCUGCAGCGGCGGGACCAAUCCCAAAACUGGCUCGGGUGUUAGCAAUCAGAGCCUGGUUUGCACUAGCGAGCGCCUGGGCGGCGGUGGGGGUUGCUACCGCAGCGCCACUUCCAACCGCGUACAGCGGGCGCUCUGCUGUGGAAACCAGGCUCUGUCUAGUCCUGGCCUCAAUUGAAUUAUCCUCUUCGAUCUGAUUGUCGGCAUCAUCUUGCACGGGUCGACCAUCCAAAGAAAUGUUACUGAGAAAAGACAGCGCGGCUUGUCUCCUCCGAGGGUCUAUGCGUUUCCGCGUAUGCUCGAUACUGGAAUACUUGAUCUGAAGCGUGGUUGUGGAUGUGUUGCUGCUCAUGGCAGCCGCCAUGGUCCGCUUUCAGCUAUACGAAGCUGCGAGCAGCGGUUUUGUCAAGAUGACAUUAAAAGUGUGUAAAGAGUGCAUAUGUAGUUAGCAAAUGCUUGUCUUUUAAGUGCAAGCGUUACACUGACUAAACACAGGAUGGUCACGUGUGUGCAGUAUUGUGAAUUGUGGCAGCAGAAAAAUUGGACCAAUAAGCUUUCAGGGAUACGUAUGAAAGGUUUUUUUCCUCCCCUCUUCUAUGGAAUUACUUUUGUGCCUUUUUAAUAUCAAACAAACCUUUUGAAUUCGUGAAUUAAAUUCUUAAUGCAAACAAAAAUGAUACUGAAAGCAAAACAGUAACCCACAAGUGUUGAGGUCGAAUAAAUAACAUAGCAAGGAAAUCAUUUUGAAAGGCAAGAACAAAUACAUUGUAAAUGAAUGCGGGAAAAAAAUGGUUUUAAUUUAAACAUUUUCAAUGAUUGCAAAGAAACGCUUCCCUCUUUGUCUGCAAUAUUUUCUUUCUUUGGUUACGUUACCCUGCCCGCCCUUCGUUUUAGCUGCCUUUUUUUGGGGUUUAAAGGGAAGCGUAGAAGAUGCGUCUCUAUUGGUCAACUGGUUUUGGAAUGAUAGGUCAUCCUUGAUUUUUUUUCACUAUUUUUUAAAAUUAUUUAACUUUUCCAUUUUGGAUAAAAAAGGUCUCAGUGGCUACUAGAUAGCUAGACAGGGUAAAUGUACGACAAGAAGAGCAUCGGAAAACAUCCUAGGCGGUUGUGGCUGAUGACCUGUCUCCAUAGCUGAGAGAAGCCAAGGAGGAAUAUCACUUCAUUCCCAACAAUACUGCUAAUAUUUCUAACUGUACCAAUGAGAAAGAGUAGGGCAGACUUAUACAAUUACAAUGCAGAGAUGUUCUUGCUCUUUAGUGAAGUUCUGCCAAUCAUAUGUUGGAAACCAUUUAUCAAGGAAAACGAGUUGAACACUUUUUGUGGAAAUUGUAAUCUGUUUCUUGAACAGUGUUUCAUCUAAGGACAAUAAUAACUACUACCUGUAUCAAAAUGUACAAUAAGGGGUAUAUCCUUAAUAAAAUAAUUGAUGGUUAA